CGCUGGCGGCGUGCCUAAUACAUGCAAGUAGAACGCUGAAGACUUUAGCUUGCUAAAGUGGAAGAGUUGCGAACGGGUGAGUAACGCGUAGGUAACCUGCCUACUAGCGGGGGAUAACUAUUGGAAACGAUAGCUAAUACCGCAUAACAGCAUUUAACCCAUGUUAGAUGCUUGAAAGGAGCAAUUGCUUCACUAGUAGAUGGACCUGCGUUGUAUUAGCUAGUUGGUGAGGUAACGGCUCACCAAGGCGACGAUACAUAGCCGACCUGAGAGGGUGAUCGGCCACACUGGGACUGAGACACGGCCCAGACUCCUACGGGAGGCAGCAGUAGGGAAUCUUCGGCAAUGGGGGCAACCCUGACCGAGCAACGCCGCGUGAGUGAAAGAAGGUUUUCGGAUCGUAAAGCUCUGUUGUAAGAGAAGAACGUGUGUGAGAGUGGAAAGUUCACACAGUGACGGUAACUUACCAGAAAGGGACGGCUAACUACGUGCCAGCCGCUGC
rnacentral:rRNA from 1 species